rnacentral:lncRNA from 1 species
GUGGCUAGUCGAAUUCUAAGGGCUAGAACUCUUAAAGCAAGGUGAAGGAGUGUUGUCCUUGGUUCAAUUUUCGUGUGGAUCACCAUUGGAGGGUGGACACUUGAAUACCUUGUGAAAAUUAGAUUAGUGCUACCAGUAUUCUUCUGAUUCAAAUUUAUUUUAAUUGUAAUUUGAUUGAUAUAGUCAAGGAUUUUUGGACAUUAAGAUUUUCGACGCAUCGGGUGUUUAAAAUGAAAUUUUAAACACCUAACCCUUCCGCUGUUCCAUUAGAAUCCAACAUUCAGGAGGUCAGGAGAUCCUACUAGAUCCAUGAGAUGGUUAAGAAAUAU